rnacentral:rRNA from 1 species
UACGUAGGUGGCAAGCGUUGUCCGGAUUUACUGGGCGUAAAGAGCGCGCAGGCGGUCGUUCAAGUCGCGUGUGAAAGCCCCCGGCUCAACUGGGGAGGGUCACGCGAUACUGAUCGACUCGAAGGCAGGAGAGGGAAGUGGAAUUCCCGGUAUAGUGGUGAAAUGCGUAGAUAUCGGGAGGAACACCAGUGGCGAAGGCGACUUCCUGGCCUGUUCUUGACGCUGAGGCGCGAAAGCUAGGGGAGCAAACGGG